GGGAAAGUGGCUCAGUGGUAGAGCACUUGCCUUGCAUGCACGAGGCCCUGGGUUCAAUUCCUCAGCACCA
rnacentral:tRNA from 1 species